rnacentral:rRNA from 1 species
GCACAAGCGGUGGAGCAUGUGGUUUAAUUCGAAGCAACGCGAAGAACCUUACCAGGUCUUGACAUCCUCUGACACCUCUGGAGACAGAGUUUUCCCCUUCGGGGGACAGAGUGACAGGUGGUGCAUGGUUGUCGUCAGCUCGUGUCGUGAGAUGUUGGGUUAAGUCCCGCAACGAGCGCAACCCUUGUCCUUAGUUGCCAGCAUUUAGUUGGGCACUCUAAGGAGACUGCCGGUGACAAACCGGAGGAAGGUGGGGAUGACGUCAAAUCAUCAUGCCCCUUAUGACCUGGGCUACACACGUGCUACAAUGGAUAGAACAAAGGGCAGCAAAGCCGCGAGGUCAAGCAAAUCCCAUAAAUCUAUUCUCAGUUCGGAUUGCAGGCUGCAACUCGCCUGCAUGAAGCCGGAAUCGCUAGUAAUCGCGGAUCAGCAUGCCGCGGUGAAUACGUUUCCCGGGC